rnacentral:rRNA from 1 species
UACAGAGGUCUCAAGCGUUUGUUCGGAUUCAUUGGGCGUAAAGGGUGCGUAGGCGGCGCGGUAAGUCGGGUGUGAAAUCUCGGGGCUUAACUCCGAAACUGCAUUCGAUACUGCCGUGCUUGAGGACUGGAGAGGAGACUGGAAUUUACGGUGUAGCGGUGAAAUGCGUAGAUAUCGUAAGGAAGACCAGUGGCGAAGGCGGGUCUCGUGGACAGUUCCUGACGCUGAGGCACGAAGGCCAGGGGAGCAAACGGG